rnacentral:lncRNA from 1 species
UAACUUCUUUAUGAAGAAACUCAGCUACAGAGGUGUUUGUUGAAUAAUUCUGAAAUCAGAUAGAAAAUAUUAAAAAAAAAAGGGGGGGGAGGGGGGGGGGAAGACUUUUCUGAAUGAAAAGAAAUGUGACCCUGUCAAGAAAUUUUUUUUUUUAUUCUUUGCCCAAACAGCUUUUCUUCUGUCAAGGAAAGGUUGUUUUCUUCUCCAUCAUGCUAUUACUUGGGCUCGUACUUUCUCCUCUGCUUGGACUUAUUGAUUGUACAUGGUGUUUCCUCUGCAUAUGCCAGCCAGUCCUCCUCUCACCAACAGAACUUUCCACCAAAAUAUGUGCCUAUAGAAUCAGUAACACCAAUAUGCAGAACUUCUGAAGCAACUUAAUAUCUGUGCCUGUGGUGAAGAAGAUUUUCAAUUGCUUGAGUAACAAAUUACUUUGUAAUUUCUCAACCACUGCAAACUGGAGCAAGGAACCUGCAAGCCCAGCACCAUAUCCUGAUCAAGGUGUAUACUAGCCACUUGCUUUUCAUGAUGCAGGUGAAGGAGAACAUUUCUCCUGUUACAUCUUUGCUGAUCUUUAUACACGGUCACAUACAAACCAACUUGUAUAGCUUUACAAUUAGUAUGUU